GGAUCGAAUAAUAGUAAUAACAAUAAUAAGAAGAAGAAUAUCGCAAGAAGAUUGUAUUCUUCCUCUACUCCUUUUGUUACUACAUCUUCUUCUUCUUUUUUUUUAUUUUUCUUCCAUUGAUUUUAUUGAAU
rnacentral:ribozyme from 1 species